rfam:Cricetulus griseus cell line CHO-K1, whole genome shotgun sequence.
AUAGUUACUUAGCUGGGGGAGAUACCAUGAUCACCAAGGUGGUUUUCCCAGGGCGAGCCUAACGUGUUGCACUCAGAUAUGCUGACCCCUGAGAUUUCCCCAAAUGCAGAAAAUUCAGCUGCAUAAUAUGGGGCAGUGGGUGACUGCAUUUCUGCUCUUCUUGA